rnacentral:rRNA from 1 species
GAUGAACGCUGGCGGCGUGCCUAAUACAUGCAAGUCGAGCGAACGGACGAGAAGCUUGCUUUUCUGAUGUUUGCGGCGGACGGGGGAGUAACACGUGGAUAACCUCCCUAUAAGACUGGGAUAACUUCGGGAAACCGGAGAUAAUACCGGAUAAUAAUUUGAAAAGCAUGGUUCAAAAGUGAAAGACGGUCUUGCUGUCACUUAUAGAUGGAUCCGCGCUGCAUUAGCUAAUUGGUAAGGUAAAGGCUUACCAAGGCAACGAUGCAUAGCCGACCUGAGAGGGUGAUCGGCCACACUGGAACUGAGACACGGUCCAGACUCCUACGGGAGGCAGCAGUAGGGAAUCUUCGGCAAUGGGCGAAAGCCUGACGGAGCAACGCCGCGUGAGUGAUGAAGGUCUUCGGAUCGUAAAACUCUUUUAUUAGGGAAGAACAUAUGUGUAAGUAACUGGGCACAUCUUGACGGUACCUAAUCAGAAAGCCACGGCUAACUACGUG